rnacentral:ncRNA from 2 species
GUUGCCAGGGGAGAUGGCAUGCCUCCCGUUUCGGGCAUUCUUCGGCAUCCCGUGACAAACCACCUCUCGUCCGUCGUUGAGGUUGAUGAUGCCUGCACCACC